rnacentral:rRNA from 1 species
UUCCGCGGUUAUAAGGGCGCAUGGUGGAUGCCUUGGGAGCAUAUGGCGAUGAAGGACGUGGCGUAGCUGCGAUAAGCCUCGGGGAGUCGCGUAGCAGACUUUGAUCCGGGGAUUUCCGACUGGGGAAACCCAUACCGAUUCAUCUCGGUAUACGCUGCCGAUUAAUUUCGGCAGUGAGCGCACCCGCUGAAGUAAAACAUUUCAGUAAGCGGAGGAAAAGAAAAAGUUUGAGUACUUUUGAAUUUUGUGGUGACUGAAUUUUGGGCAAAGAAGAGAGCAAGAGGAGCGCUGUGGGACAUUGUCUCUACGGCGCAAAUGCCGCAUGCCGCAGGCCUACGAGCAUCCGGUAACCCUCGCGCCACUUGGGGGUUCGAAUCCCCACUUCUUUCCCAGACCCAGCCGGACUUCCGUCCGGCUGGGCCCCAAAAUUCAGUCACUAUAAAAAACAGAAGUACUUAUCAUUCCCCCAGUAGCGGCGAGCGAACAGGGAAUAGUCCAAACCUUUCUUUAAAUAAGUUUACUUGUUUAAAGGGGGGGGUUGUAGGGCAAGAGUAUCUAUUUAAUUAGAGGAAGGUUACAAAUUGGCGUGUUAGCAGAACGCUCCUGGAAAGGACGGCCAAAGAGGGUAAUAGCCCCGUACGCGAAAAUUCAGCCAACCUUUUUAUUCUUGUUCCUGAGUAGGGCGGGGAACGACAGCCCCGUCUGAAUCCGGCCUGACUACGGGCCAAGACUAAAUACAUAUGCUCACCGAUAGUGAACAAGUACCGUGAGGGAAAGGUUAAAAGCAGCCCGGUGAGGGCGGUGAAAUAGUACCUGAAACCAUGCGUCUACAAGGAGUCGGAGACCUAGCGCGCCGUAAGGCGUGCAGGUCCACGGCGUGCCUUUUGCAAAAUGAGCCAACGAGUUUAUCUACGCUGCUUAUCUAACCCACUAAAGUGGGGGAGAUGCAGGGAAACCAAGUCUUAAUAGGGCGUUACUCACUCUCAAAGAGUUGAGCGUCCCGCUUCGGCGGGGUGAUUAACUUUUUGAAGUGAGUUCGUAGCGUGGAUAAGACCCGAAGCCGGAGCGAGCUACCCAUGGGCAGGAUGAAGGCCGUCGAAAGACGGCUGGAGGUCCGAACUGGUGGGUCGUGUAAUGCCCUCGGAUGACCUGUGGGUAGAAGUGAAAAGCUAAUCGAGCCCGGUAAUAGCUGGUUCUCUCCGAAAUAGUUUUAGGACUAGCCUCGUAGUAAGACGCGCGGAGGUAGAGCACUGGAUGGACUUCUUGGAGUUUUUACUUCGGAAGUCCAAUCAAACUCCGAAUGCCGCGCGUUAAUUCUACGGGAGUCAGAACGUGGGGGCUAAGCUCCAUGUUCGCGAGGGGAUAAGCCCAGACCGCAAUCUAAGGUCCCUAAAUGUUCCCGUCUUUGACGGGACCUGGAGUUCGUCUUCGGACGGACGAAGGGGUGUUAAGUGCAAUCAAAGGAGGUGGAAAUUCUUCAACAACUAGGAGGUUGGCUUAGAGGCAGCCAUCCUUUAAAGAGUGCGUAACAGCUCACUAGUCAAGAGUUUCUGCGCCGACGAUGUACCGGGGCUAAACACACUACCGAAGCUGCGGGUGCGG